AGUGAACGCUGGCGGUAGGCCUAACACAUGCAAGUCGAACGGCAGCACAGUAAGAGCUUGCUCUUACGGGUGGCGAGUGGCUGACGGGUGAGGAAUACAUCGGAAUCUACUUUUUCGUGGGGGAUAACGUAGGGAAACUUACGCUAAUACCGCAUACGACCUACGGGUGAAAGCAGGGGAUCUUCGGACCUUGCGCGAUUGAAUGAGCCGCUGUCGGAUUAGCUAGUUGGCGGGGUAAAGGCCCACCAAGGCGACGAUCCGUAGCUGGUCUGAGAGGAUGAUAAGCCACACUGGAACUGAGACACGGUCCAGACUACUAAGGGAGGCAGCAGUGGGGAAUAUUGGACAAUGGGCGCAAGCCUGAUCCAGCCAUACCGCGUGGGUGAAGAAGGCCUUCGGGUUGUAAAGCCCUUUUGUUGGGAAAGAAAAGCAGCAGGUUAAUACCCCGCUGUUCUGACGGUACCCAAAGAAUAAGCACCGGCUAACUUCGUG
rnacentral:rRNA from 1 species